rnacentral:rRNA from 1 species
UACGAAGGGGGCUAGCGUUGUUCGGAUUUACUGGGCGUAAAGCGCACGUAGGCGGAUCUUUAAGUCAGAGGUGAAAUCCCAAGGCUCAACCUUGGAACUGCCUUUGAUACUGGGGAUCUUGAGUCCGGGAGAGGUGAGUGGAACUGCGAGUGUAGAGGUGAAAUUCGUAGAUAUUCGCAAGAACACCAGUGGCGAAGGCGGCUCACUGGCCCGAUACUGACGCUGAGGCACGAAAGCGUGGGGAGCAAACAGG